UGGACAUCACUAGGCAGAGAAAUGCCAACAUGGUGGCAAAAUAAGCGAACUAAGGUACAGAGAAGUUAAAUACUUACUGGUUGUGAGCAACACGUAAAGACUGAGAAACUGCAACUUAACAGAGGAAUCUACGGAGACAGAUGACUAAAUGCAAGAUGGUAUCCUGAAUUGGAUUAUGGGACAGUAAAAGCAUUAGUGGAAAUCUGGUGGAAUCUUGGUAAAAUCAUCGUGACUUUCUCUUGUCAAUAGUGUCCGCAUGAUUCUAACACAUCCUAGAAACUUAACUUCGUUUCAUCUGGAGCAUAACAUGUGUUCCUCCCAUACGUUACAAAACUCAUUAAGGAAAGCUCUUGAACAUUGGAAAGCUCUAACCUCUUGAUUGUUUUCUCAAGCUCAUGACCAAAUCCACAUAUAUUUAAUAGCAG
ensembl:lncRNA